GUCUCUGUCCUUCCGACAGCUAUGGCGCUGCAUCCAGUGAAGGAGGAGGCGCUUCUGGUGUGGAUUAACGAGUUCCGGCUGGGUGAGCCAGUGCAGAGAGUCUCACACCUGCAGGAUGGAAACCUACUACUGAAGCUCGUGUGUAAACUAAAAGGGGAGGAGCCUAGCCAAGCUCCUGUGCACCUGCCUCAGGCAGAAAAGCUGUCGCUCGUCUCUGACUUCCUCCACA